rnacentral:rRNA from 1 species
UACAGAGGUCCCAAGCGUUGUUCGGAUUCAUUGGCGUAAAGGGUGCGUAGGUGGCGUCGUAAGUCGGGUGUGAAAUCUCGGGGCUUAACUCCGAAACUGCAUUCGAUACUGCCGUGCUUGAGGACUGGAGAGGAGACUGGAAUUUACGGUGUAGCGGUGAAAUGCGUAGAUAUCGUAAGGAAGACCAGUGGCGAAGGCGGGUCUCUGGACAGUUCCUGACGCUGAGGCACGAAGGCCAGGGAGCAAACGGG